rnacentral:rRNA from 1 species
GUCGAACGGACUCAUAUUGAAACCUAGUGAUUGUUAAGUUAGUGGCGGACGGGUGAGUAACGCGUGGAUAACCUGCCGUAUGCAGGGGGAUAACAGUUGGAAACAGCUGCUAAUACCGCAUAAGCGCACAGUACCGCAUGGUACGGUGUGAAAAGAUUUAUCGGCAUACGAUGGAUCCGCGUCCGAUUAGCCAGUUGGCGGGGUAACGGCCCACCAAAGCGACGAUCGGUAGCCGGCCUGAGAGGGCGGACGGCCACAUUGGGACUGAGACACGGCCCAAACUCCUACGGGAGGCAGCAGUGGGGAAUAUUGCACAAUGGGGGAAACCCUGAUGCAGCGACGCCGCGUGAGUGAAGAAGUAUCUCGGUAUGUAAAGCUCUAUCAGCAGGGAAGAAAAUGACGGUACCUGACUAAGAAGCCCCGGCUAACUACGUGCCAGCAGCCGCGGUAAUACGUAGGGGGCAAGCGUUAUCCGGAUUUACUGGGUGUAAAGGGAGCGUAGACGGCGCUGCAAGUCCGGAGUGAAAGCCCAUGGCUUAACCAUGGUACUGCUCUGGAAACUGUGGAGCUUGAGUGCGGGAGGGGCAGGCGGAAUUCCUAGUGUAGCGGUGAAAUGCGUAGAUAUUAGGAGGAACACCGGCGGCGAAGGCGGCCUGCUGGACCGUAACUGACGUUGAGGCUCGAAAGCGUGGGGAGCAAACAGGAUUAGAUACCCUGGUAGUCCACGCCGUAAACGAUGAUUACCAGGUGUCGCGGUACGAAGUACUGCGGUGCCGGCGCAAACGCAAUAAGUAAUCCACCUGGGGAGUACGUUCGCAAGAAUGAAACUC